UCAAUUCCCUGGUCUGCUCUCAGUCUGCCCCUGGAGACCCUGGGGACUUUUGCUCAGGAGUGAAGGGGCUGGAGGUCCCUUCCCCAGGGACAGCUUGUGCAGCAGCUGGCUGACCACGUGGCCGCCCAGAGGGUCAGCCGACCGGAGGCUGAGUCCAGAAUGCCCUGUUUUGUUGUGUAAUUAACACACAGUGUUCAUUUUUAGGGCCUGACUUGGGACUGAGUGCCAAGAGCAUUCCUGAGGGGUCAGAAGGCAGCAUGUUUACUGUCAGGCUGUAGAAAGAACUUCCUUCAAUAAGCCCUUGGAUGAUGCAUUCAAGACCGACUCAGCAAACCUCAUUAGGCACCUACUAUGUGCCAGGCCCUGGACCAGACCCCGAGAUGCAGAGAUAUCAGUUAGAUGUAAUCCUUGUCCUUGUAAAGUUCCAUAGCUCUGGGGGAGGCAGACCAGUAAAGAGACAACCCCAGGGCGGGUAAGAACGGUGCCAGGGUACCAGGGAGUAAGGGGGCAGGGAAGGCUGGCAGCCCAGGCAGCGAGCCCUGCACCUGAGCCCCUAGUCUAGUCACCCUUUAUUCCAGGGAACCCAGUAGAAGCACACAUUGACCUGUCCCGGAGGGCCAUUUGCAAGUGUCUUCUUUUGAAAUCAAUGAUUUCUUUUCUUGAACGCAGGAGCAAGUCAUUCUUUUUUUCCCAACAUGUUAAAUGUUAUGAAAUGUGGUCCGGUCAACAACAAACGUUCUUCAGAGUUAACCAAUGACCGACGUUGGCUGCAUGUGUUUCUUGAGCAUUUUCUUCCAGGUUUCAGCAUCACUAACACCCCUGGGGGCGCUCACUGUGCUCCAGGACGCAAAGAAAAUGUCAUGUGGUUUCACUUAUCUAAUCCUCACCACAGCUCCAUGUACCCUCAGUCUGCCCGUUUUCUACCCAGGGAAACUGAGGCACCGUAGAGUGAGUCACUUGAUCCGGGUCACAAGGGGAAGAGGCUGAGGAGCACUUCAGCCAGACUGAGGCCUAGAAGACAGACUGCUGGGUCGACAGACAGUGUGGACCCACAGCCCCAAACGAGCCUGCCAAGCCGCCUGCUGGAAAGACUGCUUCAGGGUUCCCUUCCGGCCGCUGGAGGAAGAACAUCUGAGCUGGGUAGUGUUUAAUGCCCUUUCCCACUGUGACAGGACUCUGUUUCACAGCCUUCAUGCGCUUCAUGUUUUUCAUCUGUGUUCUUAGGUAGCUUUGAGAAGGUCACGAUUAAAAAAAAAGAAAAUCAAUCGUGCAAAUAA